UGGGGAAUUUUGGACAAUGGGCGAAAGCCUGAUCCAGCAAUGCCGCGUGCAGGAUGAAGGCCUUCGGGUUGUAAACUGCUUUUGUACGGAACGAAACGGUCUUUUCUAAUACAGAAGGCUAAUGACGGUACCGUAAGAAUAAGCACCGGCUAACUACGUGCCAGCAGCCGCGGUAAUACGUAGGGUGCAAGCGUUAAUCGGAAUUACUGGGCGUAAAGCGUGCGCAGGCGGUUAUGUAAGACAGUUGUGAAAUCCCCGGGCUCAACCUGGGAAUUGCAUCUGUGACUGCAUAGCUAGAGUACGGUAGAGGGGGAUGGAAUUCCGCGUGUAGCAGUGAAAUGCGUAGAUAUGCGGAGGAACACCGAUGGCGAAGGCAAUCCCCUGG
rnacentral:rRNA from 1 species